UUGGUUAGCUGCCUGCUCUCUGGCCUCAAGUGAUUGCUUCCUACACCGGCUGCCCCAAGGACUUAACAUACAAUUUCCUUGAAAAAUAAGUAUAAAUGAAUUUUGGCUCCUUGGCUCAACAAAAAUGCAUAUGGCACCUUGGUCCGCUGUACACAAACCAAGUAGGAUCAAACAACAUUAACACUUAGUGCUAAUAACAAUGUCACCAUCUUGCAUACGGCAAAGCUGAGACAAUGAGGAUAAAUAACCUGCAAUACCAGAGAUUCAGAAUGAAGGACAGCAGUUCUGGCCAUCAGCUUAAAUGAGAUUUCACCAACCCCCAGCAUAACAAUAACCACACUACCAAGAACACGGCCUGUAUUUGGAGAUACACAUUAGCAAAGUAAUCCUAUACUCUGGAAAGGGGAGAACAAAUAGACAAAAUCUGAUGACUGAUACACCAAAGAUAAUAAGGCUUCCAUUUCUCUAGGAUUUAUUCUCCUGUAAAUCACAGCAUGGCUUUCGAUUCCUUUAAUGUGUGGAGAGAUGUAUCCAUUGAGUCAGCAAAAAACUUGCGACCAUCAAAGAGAAGGUCCUCAGUGAUGCUUUCAACUUCUCUUGGGAAGCCUGAGAGCUGAAGCCAAGAUGUGAUCCUCAUGACCACUGCCACUUCUGCA